rnacentral:lncRNA from 1 species
UGCCGAAUUAACUGAUCGAAGGCAAAUAAGACCAAAUUCUGAGCCUCAAAUAGAUAGUACCAUUUUUGCUGGGGCUUUAUCAUACAGGUUUUCUUCUAGUUUGUACCGCCACCCAAGAAAUGUUUUAGGUAAAUGAACCUCCAGACCAGCUGAGGGACUAGAGAAGGUCCCUACCUAGUCCCGCGAUUGGCAGUUUGGCUGGCCCCUCAAAUUUGAUUUUGCCUAAAGUCAUACAAGAUAAACUAGCCCUUCUCAAGAAGCCCUUCCCUCAAAACAACAGAAACGGCAUUGGAAAAAGAAGUUGGAAUUAACCAGUAUGUGCUCUUUCAUAGUAAGACAAUCCUCAUCUUCUGAUCUCUCAAUAGUUGGAUAUUUAUUAUCUCAAGAAAGUCGUCAAAGUAUCAGAAAAAGAAAGAAGUAUGUUAAUGAGGCAUUAUAAUGAUAUUAUGUAGAAAUUUAAGUCUUGUAAAAAUUUGGAAACAAAGAAAAUGAAAAAUACAUACUUUACAAAUAGGUCUUAGAAGAUUGAAAAAUAAAAUAAUAUCAAUGCAUCAGUUAAUUGAUUACUUAAAAGAAAAAUCUUUGAUAAGUGAAUCAACUGAAUUGACCAUUCAGGCUUCCUUAGCUGAACCAGUACAAAGUAUUUUUGAAAGAAUGUUAAAAGGACCUGCCACACAAAAAUCCAAUCUUCUGCUAC